GGUGAAAGUGAACGCCAAACCGCAGUGCCUGGACCGAGUCAAAGAACGUCACGUAUCGGCAAACGUGACAUCGGCGUUCAAUGCGUCCUGACAGCGCAGGCUCUGCCUCGGGCUGGGGAGCAGCACCGGCGGGAGGAGGACCAGGGGACGGAGCUGCACCAGGGGGCCUACGACGAGGAGGGCAACCCACAGACUGCCUUAGUGCUGAUCAAACAGGAGGUGGACUGGGAGGCAGACUAUUCUGAUGACUACUCCCCUGGGUACAUACUGCUGAAGAAGGAGGGGGGGAGAUCUCCCGACUCUGGUCCGCAGACAACCUCUCAGAGAGUUACCAGGCAGAGCCCUGGUCCCACCUGGAGCCGUCAGGGCCCUGGUCAACCGUUGCACCCAGGAAAGGCCUCCCACCACCCAGCCUACCUCAGCAGAGG